UGGCGAACGGGUGAGUAACACGUGGGUAAUCUGCCCUGCACUCUGGGAUAAGCCUGGGAAACUGGGUCUAAUACUGGAUAUGACCUUUCUCCUUAGUGGGGUUUGGUGGAAAGUUUUUCGGUGUAGGAUGAGCCCGCGGCCUAUCAGCUUGUUGGUGGGGUGAUGGCCUACCAAGGCGACGACGGGUAGCCGGCCUGAGAGGGUGAUCGGCCACAUUGGGACUGAGAUACGGCCCAG
rnacentral:rRNA from 1 species